rnacentral:lncRNA from 1 species
AUGGAGGAGGUGCACAUGCUCACCAAGCCCACAGAAUGCUUCAACCCUACCAACUUCCUGGACAGCGCUACCAACUUCCUGGACAACGCUACCAACUUCCUGGACAAGGGCAAGUUCCAGGGCAAUGACCCUUUCAUGCCCUUUGCCUCAGGUGCGGGCAGGGGAGGAAGGCGACCAGCCUGGACCGGCUCUGGGGUGCAUGGUGCUCACUAUGCACCCGUGUACCUGGGAAAGCAGAUGUGCCUGGGCGCAGGCCUGGCCCAGUUGGAGAUCUUCCUAUUCCUUACAGCCACCCUACAGAGGUUCCUGCUCCCUGUGGUAAACCCUGGCACCAUCAACCUCACCUGCAGUUCACUGGCCUGGGCAGUGUCCCCCCAGCCUUCCAGCUCCAGCUAGUGGCCUGCUGAGGUCAGGCUCCGCUGUAGUGGGCUCACUGGCCCUCAAACCUCCGCACCCUCCUUGGUCAAUAAAGGCCCUAAACUGCAGAUGGAGUCAGAUGUGUGCAGCUCUGAGGUAAACUUUUAUUUCUUGGCUGACAGGACUUCCACACCCAUGCUCCUCCUGGCACCUUUUACUCUGCCCACGCAGUGGCAGCCCAGUCUCAGUGACACCUGACACAGAGCCUUCUUGGCACCGAACAUGACUUUAAUAUUCUCCUGGUGUCAAGUUCAGUGCUAACUUGUUUCCCAUCCUCAUGUACACCUGGGGGCAGUCCCAAAGCCAACACGAUGCCACUCCCUCUCUGGCCAUACCUGAUGCUUGUAAGGGAUUAUUGGAAGGACAGCCAAUAAAGGAAUGAAGCCAAUAGACCCAAGUUCAGGCAAGCUGAUGUAUUGUCCGUCCUGCCACGCUACCCCUUGACAAAAGCAGAGGAGGCAGCCCCGCUUACAGGUUAUAGCCACCCUUCUCAAUUUCCUUACUAAUAAAGGCUAUAGGGCCUCUCCCUACAAACAAACCAAAACUUCCUCCCACCUUUCCACUCCACCGUGACCUACUUAGGAGUUAAACUCUCCCCCAGGUCCUGAGCCAUAACCCCAGCACAGGCAGCCUUAAUAGACAGCCUAUCUCCAACUUCCUCAAAAAAAAAAAAAAAUCAUGUCUUCCUAGGGCUAGCAGGAUUUUUAAAAAAUAUGGAUUCCCAACUUUGCCCUCCUAGUUCACCCCCUUUAUAAAGCAGCCAAAGGCCCCUUCAAUAAACCCCUAAUCUCCUCACAUAACAUACUCCCCAACUUCCACAAACUCCAAACCGCUCUUAUCUCUAUAUUGCCAAAAACCAAAUAAGAGCCCUUGGUGUCUUAAGACAACAACAACAAAAAUCCUCUUUCCUUUGCUCCUAUAGCCCACCUCUCUAAACAACUCAACAACAGAGUCAAAGGGUGGCCAACCUGUCUUAGAGCACUAGCAGCAGUGGCUGUUUUAGCUGUAAAAAGCAGGAAACUAACAUUCAGCCAAAAUACCACCAUCUACAGUCCUCAUAAUCUACAAGAUGUCCUCUCCUACCAAGCAUGAAGCUCUCUUCCUCCUUCCCAGAUUCAAGGACUCCAUGCCCUCUUUAUCAAAAAUCCCAAAUUCUGCCUUACCAAAAGUGCUCCCCUCAACCCAGCAUCCUUACUCCUUAUGCCCUCUUCCCUUCCUACUCAUUCUGACACUGACCUCCUAGACCCCCUGCAGCCACACUUCCCAAACAUUCCCUCCAAUCCUCUCACCAACCCCAAUGACCAGCUAUUCAUAGACGGCUCCUCUUCCAGGCCGACCGGCUCCCCUAAAAUUGCUGGAUACUCAAUCGUUUCUCUUGACCAAGUAAUUAAAGCCAGGCCCCUACCUCCAGGAACCUCCUCCCAAAAAGCAGAACUUAUAGCUCUCACCAAAGUCCUAACCCUUUCCAAAGGCAAAUAAGUCAACAUUUAUACAAACUCCAAAUAUGCCUAUCACAUCCUUCAUUCCCACACUGCCAUCUGGCAAAAGAAAGUAUUCUUUACUGCCAAAGGAACCCCCAUCACUACCGGCCCCUGGGCAGCCUGGGUAGGCUGACACAUAGCUGCUGCUAGGAGCUGGUAUUUAGCACAAUCUUGUUGGACUUUAUCUAAUUUCUUUUGCUCGUCUCUGUUGUUGAAGACCUUAAAGGCCAGGUUAAGAAGGACUUGUCGAGGGGUUUGAGGGCCCUCUUCUACCUUUCUGAGCUCGUGCGGUAUGUCAGGAGCAGACUGAGAUGAAAUGGAUAUUAAGAACAAUGGUUCCUGGGAGGUGGGGUCAACACGGGCGUAUUUUUGGAGGGCCUCUGUAAGGCGGGAAAGAAAUUUGGCAGGGUUUUCAUCGGCUCUUUCAGAGAUUUCUUUGCACUUUUCAAAAUUUACGGCCUUAUGGGCUGCUUUGUUAAGGCCUACGAUGAGGGAAGUUGUUAUACCCAGACCGUUUGUUCCCCAAAGAAGACCACCAGAGUCCAGAGUCAAAGCCAAGCGGCAAGGAUCCUUUACUACAAGUUCGAACUUGGUCCCUCCAUUCCACAGCAUACAAGACGGUUGAACAAUGUGAGUGCUUGCUUUUUAGAGCCCGAUGUAAAUAGGAUACGUAAAGUUACAGAGGAACAAGGGAAUUCUUUUGGUUACAGCAUUACAAUUGGUUUACAUUUUAAGUUAUACAUUCAGCAGUUUUUCUAUUGGUUCCCGCGCUUUCAGUAAAACCACAAAUGGCUGUGUCCUUAUCGGGGACUUUCCAGGUGGUGUUUUUCUAAAGUUGAGAUAUAUGGUAGUCUCUGAGUUGAGAGGUGUGUUUGUACUGGG